AAUUUUGAUAACAUCUAAUUUAUCAUCUUAUCUCUUAUGACUCAUAUUUCUUGUGCUCUAUUUAAGGUAUCGUUACCAAUCUCAAGACUCCAAAGAUCUUUCUCUGGUGGUUUCCUCCAGAAGUUUUACAGCUUUAGCUUAACAUUUGGAUGUAUGACCCAUUUUGAAUUGAUUUUUGUGUAUGGUGUGUGUUAAAGACCAAAAAAAAAAGUUUCACUUUUUUCCAGACCUUCAGCACAAUAUUGAAGAAAAGUGACAGAAGACAUGUCUUGUUGCUGAUGUUAGGGCUGGAGUGUUCUUUCCUUUCUCAAUCCUCACUCCCCGACUCAGGCAUGUUCGUGUUGUGACGGCUGGACCACCACAAGUGGCGCCUGAACAGGGGCUUGAGUAUUGAGGGAUUCAGUGAAGGACACCGCUGGAUAAAGAAUAAAAGGAGAUCUUGAUGAAAAGAAAAAAGAGGACCUUCA